GGAGUUAGCCGGUGCUUCUUCUGUGAGUGAUGUCCUUCCUGCCGGCUAUUAACCCGCAGGCCUUCUUCCUCACUGAAAGUGCUUUACAACCCGAAGGCCUUCUUCACACACGCGGCAUGGCUGGAUCAGGGUUGCCCCCAUUGUCCAAUAUUCCCCACUGCUGCCUCCCGUAGGAGUCUGGGCCGUGUCUCAGUCCCAGUGUGGCUGAUCAUCCUCUCAGACCAGCUACGGAUCGUCGCCUUGGUGAGCCGUUACCUCACCAACCAGCUAAUCCGACAUAGGCUCAUCCGAUAGCGCGAGGCCCGAAGGUCCCCCGCUUUCCCCCGUAGGGCGUAUGCGGUAUUAGCCUGGGUUUCCCCAGGUUAUCCCCCACUACCGGGCAGAUUCCUAUGCAUUACUCACCCGUCCGCCGCUCGCCACCAGGGAGCAAGCUCCCCGUGCUGCCGCUCGACUUGCAUGUGUAGCUCGCCGCCACGCGUCAUCUGAGCCAUAAUACAACUACUCGA
rnacentral:rRNA from 1 species